rnacentral:rRNA from 1 species
AUUGAACGCUGGCGGCAGGCCUAACACAUGCAAGUCGAGCGGAUGAAGGGAGCUUGCUCCUGGAUUCAGCGGCGGACGGGUGAGUAAUGCCUAGGAAUCUGCCUGGUAGUGGGGGAUAACGUCCGGACACGGGCGCUAAUACCGCAUACGUCCUGAGGGAGAAAGUGGGGGAUCUUCGGACCUCACGCUAUCAGAUGAGCCUAGGUCGGAUUAGCUAGUUGGUGGGGUAAAGGCCUACCAAGGCGACGAUCCGUAACUGGUCUGAGAGGAUGAUCAGUCACACUGGAACUGAGACACGGUCCAGACUCCUACGGGAGGCAGCAGUGGGGAAUAUUGGACAAUGGGCGAAAGCCUGAUCCAGCCAUGCCGCGUGAGUGAAGAAGGUCUUCGGAUUGUAAAGCACUUUAAGUUGGGAGGAAGGGCAGUAAGUUAAUACCUUGCUGUUUUGACGUUACCAACAGAAUAAGCACCGGCUAACUUCGUG